GUGCAUAGCAAUUAAUCUCUUAUACACUUACAUAUAAGUUAAAUAUAAGUUAUUGAUAUUUAUAAAUCAGUAUUUUUUUUUAUAAAAAAAUAUAUUAAAAAGAUAAAUAAAUAUUUUAAUAUGAAGACCAUUAGAAUAUAAUUUUUUUAAUAAAAAAAUAUUGAUUUAUGGAUGUCAAUAACAUUUUUAGAUUUUGUGCAUUGGCAUAAAAUUUGAUUUGGUAUUUAUAAAUUGCAAAUAAAUAAUUCAACUUGCUAUUUUAGGGUUCAGUCUUUAACGUCAAUAGUUAUUUAUAUUUUUACAUUAUUAUAAAAAAUUUAUUGAUUUUCAUAAAAUUAACUAUAUUUUUAGAAUAUAUAUUUUUAUUAUAUUAAUUUUAAUGAGAAUUGUUUUUAAUUUUUAUAUUUUAUGCAUAUGAUGUGGACGAAUGUAGAGUGGAAAUAAUUGAUAUAACUUUAAUUUUAACUUUAAUUCGAACAAAUGAUAUGUGUGAAAUGAGAAAAACUGACUUAUAUUGUGAGUGGGGCUUAUGCCUUCCAUCUUUCUUUAAUAUGUCGAUUUUUUUCAUUUCACACACAUUUCUUUUAUUAGGAUUAAAAUUUUGUUAUUAUUAUAUUAAUUUUUUCACUCGAAAACUUUUCUUUCCAUAUAUAUUUUAAAUUAAAAUAUUAUAUUUAAAUAUUAUAUUUAUACAAAUUUAUAUAACAAAAUACAAUUUAUUAUAAAUAAGUUAAAUUAUAUUAAAAUUAAAUUUUUUAUUUACAUGAUAUACAACUAAAAAUUUUAAUAUAUAAUUAAAUAUUAAAUAUUUGAAUAUCUCGAAAUGACUGCCUCCAUCCCUUGUCAAAGUUUGAAAUUUCCACCAAAAUUUAGGUGGUUUUAUAUGAAUUCAGGUUUUUUUAAAACGUUGCUAUAAUGUCUAACUCUUGUGAAUUAACGAUUGCAUAAUUUUAUUUAUUUGUUUAUAUUUAAAAACAUUUAAAUUACUUGUUCUAAAUUUAUAACUAAUAUCAAGCCAUAAAAAUAAGUUUAGUGGUGAAGGACAUGAGUAGUGUGUAUGAAGUUUUAAAUAAUACAAAUAGUGUUAAAAAGAAGUUUCAGACUAAAAGUUUAGAGAAUUUCUUUAUCUACCUCCUUAGAGCAUCUCCAAUGGUAGUAUUUUCCUUUGAGUUCUUCAGCUGGACAUCAAUAUAAUAAUUAAAUAUUAAAACAAUUUACCAUAUCAUAGUACAGUUGCAUUGCAAUGUAACUAGUAAAAAAUUGUGGUACCAAAUCAAAUUAAUUUAUCAGGUAAAAUUGUGGGACCCAUUAGAAUUACACCAAUAAAAUAAAAAUUAAAUAAAUUAUUUUGAGAUGAUAUGGCUGGUGGGACCCACAAAGAACUCAAAAAUGGGUUGUACCAUUGGAGAUGGUCUUACCUUCUUAGAAAUCCGCACGAAUUUCCAAAAAUGCUUCUAUAUUUCGGAAGUGUAUCUUCGAAAUCACCUUUUUCUAAAAAAAAAAGGUGAUUUCGGAUGUGCACUUCCGAAAAUACCUUAUUUUUUAAAAAAAAUGUGUCUUCGAAAAUGCAUAUCCGAAAACACCUAUUUCGAAGAUGCACUUCCGAAAUAUUGGGAGGAUCAAGACGAAGCCACAGAUAAAACCGUAGCUGAAGAUUGAAGAAUAGAUCUGUCAAUAGAAUGAACACUCUGACUCUUGUGAUGAACAUUAUGCAUGUAAGAUGUAGAUGAAGAAAAACUAGUAGUAGUAGUAGUUGAUGAAGAUGAAGGAUUGUGACUAGUUUGCCAAAAAAGGCAUUCUACAAAAGUUCCAAACUUUUCCACCAGAUCCUAGCUUUUCACUCUCCACCUCCAUUUCUCGACGGAAUCUCACCGGAGAAAGAAUCUUCCAGCAAAUGGGUCACUGAAUUGGGUGAAAAAUUUUAAGCUUUUUGAUAAAUAAAGUGAUGAGUCUUUUGAAGCUAAAAUUGUGUGUUUGAGUUUCUAAAUUGUGUGUUUGAGUUUCGGAGAUGCAUUUUUGAAAACAUCUAAAAAUAAGUAUUUUCGGAAAUGCAUAUCCGAAUUUUGAGAAAAUAUGAAAAAGUGUGAUUUCGGAGAUGCAUCUUCGAAGUCAGAGGUAUUAUGGGGUUUUCAGCAGGGGUUCUCACCCCAGGAGAGUCUAUAAAAAAUUGUCAAAGUUUAUUGUCUAUUCUACCAGGCCCGGCCCAAGAGCAAGGCAAGCAAGGCCAUUGCCUUGGGCCUCAUUUUUCUUAGGAUAUUAGUUAGGCCUCAUAAUAAAUUAAGACAAUUUCUUUAUCUAUCCCCAACCUUCUUAGAAACCCGCGCGAAAUUUCUAAAAUGGCCCUAUAUUUCGAAAGUGCAUCUCCAAAAUCAUCUAUUUUUCUGAAAAAAAUUUGAUUUCGGAAGUGCACUUCCGAAAACACCUUAUUUUUUAGAAAAAAAAAGGUGUUUUCGGAAAUGCACUUCCGAAAUCAACUUUUUUUCAGAAAAAAGGUGUUUUCAGAAAUACAUCUCCGAAAUCACCUUUUUUCAGAAAAAAAGUGAUUUCGGAGAUGCACUUCCGAAAUAUUGUCUAAUGCAGAAAAUAAAAAACAAAUGAACAAAGCUUCGAUUUAUCAUAAAUAAUCGAAAGUACAAAGAUAAAUCAACAUGAAAUUAAAGUUACAUAUUGUUAAACAUGGGUAGUUGAGGAUGUGUCAACAUUUUGAUAACGUCGGCUCGCGAUCAUUGAAGUUUCGCAUCCAACUCGAUCAGACUCAUCGAAGAAAAUCAGUCGAAAGUUGUCCACAAAACCUCUAAAUAUUUGUCGUUCUUGACUUCAAAUGGGGUGAAUUGGACACAUCCAUUCUGUUUUGCAUAAGUUAUUGUUGGGCUGCAAGUAAUUCUCCCCUAGCAGAUUCAAUCUGAUUCCUGAUCCCAUACAUAAGCUUCAUCAAGGCUUUGAUAGCUGGUUGGAGUCUGUAUAAUUUCUUCCACACCAUAUACAUGGGAUUAUCCCUCAUCUCCUGAUUCCUGUUCUUCUCAACAUCUUUUAGAAAACCCUCUAUGUCAGUUACAACAUUAGGAAAUUUAAAGUAGUGCUUAUGCUGAUGAUCUUAAUCCUUUUGCUGUAGCUUUAGUAAGCAGUGGUCUGAUAUACUAGGUUCCAUGAUUUCCAGCACAGUAUCAAUAUUUGCUUGAUGCCACUCCAAGUUACUAAUCACUCCAUCAAUUCGAGAGUAGAUAAUGCCUAAGCUAUGCUUGUUGUUCCAAGUAUGGUAAUCACCCUUACUCUCUUUCUCAAACAGCCUAACUCUAUCCAUCAUAUUAAUAAGAUCUGAGUAUUCACUUUCUUUAACCUUAUUUCCACCUAGCCUGUCAUUCACAGAUAGAACAUUAUUAUAAUCACCAAUAACAAACCAUGGGCCUUUAGUUCUCUUGUGGAUAUCCUCUAAAUCAUCCCACAACUUUCUUCUCAGAUUCAAAGUAUUUUGGGCAUAGACAGAAGUGCACCAUUGCUGCAUAGUUCCAUUCAGGUUGUAGAUGCCCACAUGGAUACACUGAUCCGUACUAAGGACCUUCUCUACCCUCACUCUGCUACUAUCCCACAUGAGCCAAAUUCUACCAUUGUAGUGCUUAUCAUAGUUAUCAAUAACAGACCAUUGCUGGCCAAUUUGGUUCCUAAUGUGAGAAGCCUUAUUCAACUUAACGGGAGUUUCUAGAAAAAUACUAAUAACAGGGUUUAGGUGUUUGAGACGGGUUACAAUCUCCCUACAUUUCCUUGCAUUAUUUAACCUUUUGAUAUUCCAGGACACAAUCAUGGGACAGGUAUUGGUCCCCCUCCCCCAGUUUCCACUCUACCAUCAAGAGCCUCAAAUCCAUUUUGGCAAGGCACCUCAUAAAUCUUCUCAGGGCCAGGCAGUACAAUCUUUCCUUUAGCUCUCUUGUUUUUAGUCACUUCAGUCCAAGAGAUUGAAGCUUGUUCUAUAGGGUUGUUGGGAGUACAUACCUUAGGUAAUGGUGCUUUCAUUAAAGAUUAAACUAUUAAAAUUAAUAUAUUUUAUUUUAUACUAUUUAGAAAUUUAAUUAAAGAAAUAUUUCAAAAUGUUUAUUUACACCCCUAAAAAAUUUAAUAAUAACAUUUCAAAAUGUUUAUUUAAUAUUUUCAAUAAAUAAAUAUGAAAAUCAAUUGAAGUGAGUAAGGUGACUUGCCAAUAAAGGGAAUUGAAUGUUUAAAGUUUUUACUUAGCUAUUGAAAAUUUAUUUGCUUGUAUGAGAUUGUUGAGAAUGAAAUAGAUAUUUCAAUUGAUUGGGGUUAUCAUUGCAACCGAACUUAAUAUUUGUGCUAUCAUGGUUAUAACCACUUCUAACUUGUUUUUAUUAUAUUAUAUUAUUUAAAAUUGGCUAAAUGUUUUUUUGUAAUUCCUUAUGUUUAAGUUUUGUAAUGAUUUUAUCAUUUUCAUUUUUUUUUCUUUCAAAAUAAUCUUUUAAAGUCAUAAAGAGUUCAUAAUCUAUCAUAUAAGAAAAGUCUACCAUUUGGGACUUUCUUAGGCUAUCCACAUCAGCAACUCUUCUAUGGUUGAUCCACAUCAGCUUUGGUGGUUACUACAGAAUUUUUGAUCCUUCAACUGCCUGGUGGGCUGCGGCAGUUAUUGCUGUGGGAGUUUCACCCUUCCAGCUUCUCUUGAUCGUUACGCAUUCUUCACUUCUCUGCCUAUAUUGACUUCCCAUGUUCAAUGUUGGUUACCAAAUUGAAAGAGGUUUCAAUACUCUCCAUAUUCCAUUCAAUUGCACGAAGUUUACAAACAAACCAUGGAGUUUAUGGCUUAUGGCUCCGAUCGAUUCUCUCGCAUCUUCUCCGCUUUAACGUCCCAUAAUUUCCCCAAAACCGUUCUUCCUCUUCUUCCAAAACCGUUCGUUUUCCCUUUCACCCCCGGGUCUCUCAAUCUUUCAGAACGAAUAUCUUUCCUCUCUCUCCAACCAAGGCGCCUCCACCCUCCUUCUCCAACGAACUGCUCGCUUUUUCUGUUCUGAUUCAUCUCCAAAGUUUCGAUUUUGCUCGCCUUUGAAGCUAUGGUUACUGAUCUCAAACUCUCGGUGGAUCUCUUGGAAAAAGAAAGAGACUUUUUCUUUUCAAAACUACGGGAUAUAGAGAUUCUCUGUCAUGCAUCAGAGCUGGAUAAUGAACCUUUUCUGUUUUGUCUUCUCCUACUGUGCAGCAGAGUUUGCGUGGUGCGUCAGUUCAGCCGCAGCAGAUUGCUGGGAAAUAGAGGAGAUGUUGGUCGUCGGAAUUGCAUCGGAGAUUUGUUAAUGGUUGCACAAGUUUGGAGAUUCUCAAGGUUAUAAUUUGAAAUCAUUAUGAUUUGAACUUUAUGUUUUUGUGAUAGAGCUUCAGUGGUAAUUGACAUCAGCAGUGACCUUGAACGGCCAUAACAAAUGUGAAUGUAUUUCCAAGAUAUUAAUUUUAAAUGUGUAUAUUUUGACUAUUUUAAUUUUGGUGAGAAAGAAACUGAGGAAGGAGAAAUAAAAAAAUUCACUACGGAAGCAUUAGACGCCGCCACCACUGAUGUUGCUAGGAUACAACAUCUUUGGAGGAAAAGAAGGUUGGAGUGAAGGGGCUUGGGAAGAAAAAACGGGAAGGAAGAUCUAUCUAUGGUUUUUACAUUGGCGAGUACAAAACGGGUCAUAUUCUUGGCAUUUGGUAGUUCAACAUGUGUUGGACCAAUGUUUUACACCAUAAGCUUUGCUUAUUAAAAUGCGUUGAAUUCAGGAUUAUCAUAUCCAGUUGCUUCAGCUUCAGUUAAAGUACUUCAACGCUUAUGGAGGAACGACUUGGCAGCACUAAAGGUUUGGAAUUCACAAGAGUUGGCCCUUCGAACCACCAGCUGUGAGAUGUCGUCGAUUCAGUCUUUCUUUGAUUCCUCUUUCAUAAUUUAUAUUGGUCAGCUUAUUGAAGGGAGUUUAUUUCGGUUGGGGUUGCAUUUGAGGAAAUAGGAGAGGCCACCAAGUGUUUGUUAUAAUGAUUGAAGAUUGUUGGAGAAUGGAAGAGAAUUGAUUCAAGAUUGAAGCUGUUAUGGGAUUGAAAUCGGCGAUGGUGAUUAUGGACAGAAAUGUGGAGAUAUGGAGGAGGAUUCGAGAAUCGCUGUGCUUCAUGAUAAGUUCAAUGAGCAUGGAAAUCUUCUUGCUGUUAGUACGGCCGAUAGCGGUGUUAAAACUCUCGCUAAUGCAGAGGGUUUAAAUCCAUGAGGCGCGUUGAUGCUACUGAUCCAAAGCUUUGCAUCUACUUUAAUUCGGCAGCAUGAUUAAGGCUUCUCAAAUUCUUCGCAUCAUUACAUUUUAUUCUACACAACUUCCCGGUCCAAAAUACCAUUGUCGUGAGUGAGUGUUAAGUGGCAGAAGGAACUUUUCAUAGAUGUAGAGAUUGAUACCAGCCAGCCCUCUUAUGUUUUUAAGGUCCAAUUGUUUGAUCUAACCGGAGUGUCUCCUGAAAGACAAAAGAUUAUGGUAAAGGGCGAUCUUUUAAAGAUUAAUCUCGGGAUAUAGUCGUUGUCUUUUGUGCAAAAGGAUGCCGCAAGGAGAAAUAUUCUGUUGACAACGUUGAAUUACAGUAUAUCGAGUGCUUUUGAUGUUCUGCAGUCAUUGGAGACGCAUGGUGGGAAUAGGAAUAUGCUGAAGCAGAAGCAGCAUGAUGAGUUUGUUCAUAGAUGGAAUCUUUUCAAGUACAAGCUUAACAAGGUCGUGUCUGCGAUGUCGCAUCUGGAUUAUGAGUUGGCUCUGUUUUACGUGAGGUCUUCUGAUCAUGAUCUUUAUGCCAUUCACUCCAUUGUGUAUCAUGCCUCUCAAGAAAUUGAGGCACCACUCACAUGCUUUAAGGAUUCUCCCUUUCCCUAGGUUUCGGUCUCAACUUCUGUCGCGGCUUUCAUUGCUCUCUCUUAUGUUUAUGCAAAACGACAUAAAAUUUUUAGAAACAAAAGCAAGCAAUUUUGAUGCUCUCACAAUAGGACAGAUGUUUGUAUGAUUUUAAGAAAGCACAACAUGUAUCAUUAUAUAAGAGGUACGCUUACAGGCUUGAUUUUAAAUUGCUGGAAUGAUCAACUCCUGUUCAGCAUGUUGUUUUCCUAUUAUGGUUGUUCUUUGUAAUCAGUUUUUUUAGGAAUUUAUUACCUUUUCAUUAUGAUGACUUAAGUUUAUCAUUUCUAUGUGGAUGAGUAUUAUUAGAAGAACACAAGUAGAUUGGAAUUCAUAGCUUUAAAUCUGUAUACACAUAGGAGAAAUAGAAAAGAAAAUGAUAGACAAUUGGAUCUUAAAGCAGUCAAAGACUGCUGAAAUCUGUAUACACAUAGGAGAAAUAGAAAAGAAAAUGUUUAUCAUAUACCUUGCGAAUCAUUAUUAUGCAAAUCAUUAUAACUCCCCAUCCACAUGCAUGCAUUAUUAUGAUAUAAGGCAAUAAAAUGAUAUAAUCUUAAUAGCACCAACAUAGCGUCAAGCCAAAAAGUCAUUUUAGCAUCCUUAUAAGCAUUCAUGCAUAUAUAGUUACAUCCAUACAUAUAUAGUUACAUCCAUACAUUUCAGAGAAUAAGAAUGAGUUGAGUUAUUUUCAUUAGCUCAUUUAUAACCCUAAUAUAUUAGUUAAAUCUUUUUAUGUGAUAAUGAAUUUUUAUUAGAAAUGCAGGUAAAUGGGUAUGAGUAUGAGUACUUAAUAUCUAUAGGGCACAGGAACAUGCUCAAAUGUUGGUGCACACGUAGAUAUGGACAUGGAGGUUACCAUCUAAGGCCCAAACAAUAAUAUUAUUCCAUUAACUUACAUACUUUAACCAACCUUCGGGCCCAAACUAUUAAUAAAAUAUUUUUAUAUUUCA